rnacentral:lncRNA from 1 species
AAACUGUAGAAUGUUGAACAUGUUGCUUCUAGCUUCAGGUGGGUACAAGCUUUUAAAGUCAUAUGUUGUUAGAAUUUCUCCUGGAUUAUGCAUUCUAUUCUGUAUUCUUUUAAGGACAUCGUAAGUGCUAUUGGCUGCAUGUUUAUACCCUUUAAGGAUGCUGUUGCACCAUUUUGCUACUUUUUCUUCAGGAAUAUAUGUAGGGGUGCACCAUUUUUCAACAAUAGGCCUUGCUUCUGUAGGUGUCUUAUGCAUUUUGAUGUAUACGAAAAUUCAUGGGCAUGACGCUGCCUUUAUUUUCUUGUGUCUAAACACUUCUGGGAAUUUUUUAUUUUUCACCAAUUUAUCUAAUUUUGGUUUUAGAUUUUUUAUUGGAUUUUCAUUGAUCUUUUCUGCGUUAGACUCUUCUAUGUAAUUAUUCACAAACUUGUCGUGCUCUUGUUUAUUCAUGAUUAACUUUAAGAACAAAAAACUAACACUGCUUCACUUCUAUUAUAAAAGUUCCAAAAAACAG